GGUGAUCAUAAUAACUUCUCGAAUCGCAUGGCCUUGUCGCGGGAUGCUUCGUUCAAAUAUCUGCCCUAUCAACUUUCGAUGGUAGGAUAGAGGCUACCAUGGUUUUGACGGGUAACGGGGAAUAAGGGUUCGAUUCCGGAGAAGGGAGCUGAGAAACGGUACCACAUCCACGGAAGGCAGCAGGCGCGCAAAAUUACCAAUCCCGAACGGGGAGGUAGUGACAAUAAAUAACAAUAUAGGGCCCUUUUGGGUCUUAUAAUUGGAAUGAGUACAAUUUAAAUCCGUUAACGAGGAACAAUUGGAGGGCAAGUCUGGUGCCAGCAGCCGGGUAAUUCCAGUCCAAUAGCGUAUAUUAAAGUUGUUGCAGUUAAAAAAGCUCGUAGUUGAACUUCAGACCUGAACCGGGCGGGUCCCGCCUAAACGGUUGUUGGU
rnacentral:rRNA from 1 species